ACACUAUUAGUAAAAUUUAUUAUAUUUCUUUUCCAAAGAAAAGGUCUAAUUGUUUAGAUGGUGUA
rnacentral:tRNA from 1 species